GUGCUUGUUUAGCAGCACAUACACUAAAGAUUGGAACAAGGCAGAGAACAUGAGCAUGGUCCCUGUCCAAUAACACCACAGUUCAUGAAACAGUCCAUAUUCUU
ensembl:snRNA LOC120099424 U6 spliceosomal RNA